GCCCGGAUGGCGAAAUAGGCAGACGCAGCAGACUUAAAAUCUGCCGCCCAUCACAGGGCGUACCGGUUCGAUCCCGGUUCCGGGCACCA
rnacentral:tRNA from 2 species